UUACUGAGUGCUUACUAUGUGCC
rnacentral:piRNA from 2 species